AGCCAAUCAUUGAGAUCCUGG
rnacentral:misc_RNA from 1 species